CUACAAGGAACUGGUCGAGAUCCCAGCUGAAGACGGCCGUGGGGCCGCCACCCGCAGCCCACCCACCCCACCACUGCAGGCGAGGAGCUUCGUGGUCUGAGGGGUGGCGGCCGCUGCAUCCCCCUGAGGACGAGCCCCCCGCGACCCACAGAGCAGCCUCAGGGUCACCCCCUGCGCCCCGACGCCUUCGCCCCUGGGAAGGACCUUUUCUGGGGAGAGCCGCGGCCUUUCCGCUUCCGCGGGCUCCAUUGCCAUGCACUGCUUUGCUGCUUGAGUAAAGAUUUCUUGCAGAAAUA